CCCGCCUUCCCGGGGACUGGCAGCCCGCCCCGCGGCCCGCCUCCUGCCCAGCCUCUCCUGCUAUGUUUCCAUGGGGUGUGGACCCUUCUCUCCCGCGGAGGUGGGCGGGCGCAGCCGCGGCUACUUGGUAGCGGGUUCGGGGCCCGGCCGCGCCUGCGGCGGCGAGAGCCAUCCUGGACCGACCUCGGGCCUGCGGAGUUUGUGUGCAGCGUCUGCUGGGUGCAGCGGCCUCAGUUCUGAGCGCAGCAAUCGACCCAGUUUUUUACCUGUGAAACUUCAUUUCAAACAGGGAAAUGAAGAGACUAACACCCAGGAUGGCAUAAAGACUAUUUUAAACUGACAACAGGUGAACAAACAGCAGCUGCAGAAAAAAAGCCUUCCUGCAUUCCCUUUGAUGAGUAAAGCAGGCCUUUCUGAGAAUUCAGCUGCCAUAACCCUCUCCAAGGGGGCCUCUGUAAGGGUGGAGCCUGACUUUGCAUCAGGACCUCCCAGGGAAUUGUGUAAAUACAUCCUAUCAGAACCUUCCAUACUUUCCCACUGCAGCCUUAACACCCUCCUCACCCAUCCCAUUAAGCUGAUGUAUAAAAUCUUAUCUCUGCACUUCAGAGAGCUACUCCUUACAGCGUGCUCCUGCAUACAUAUAUAAUAAACUUUUCUCCUAUUAAUAUGUCUGUUAGCACACAGGCCCUCAACCACUUGAACCUAAGUUGGUAGAGGCAAAGUUUUCCUCCCAAUGACACUUUCUAGACUUCUCCGGAUACACUAGAGUGUUCAAACACAUAACGAAAUUUGGAAACCUUGACUUUGUUUGAAGGUGGAAGAAUCUACUGUACAUGUACAUGGGCUUUCUGGGAAUCCUUUUAAGUUUGUCUCAAACAAUAAACUUUGGGUAGUCACCCUGUGUGUUUAAUAAGUGACUGAAAACUUUAUUUGCCUUAGGGAGAGAGCUAUAAGCCAUCUAAGCUGGGAUGAUGGGCUGUGCUCUCCUGAUUUCCUCUGGGCGUGUAAUCUGUAGUCUAAAGGGGCUUUGUAGUGAGUUAUAGCCUUCUUAACCACCAUGGGCGGCAGCAGGAACAGUGUAGCAACAGCGGAGAGGUAGCAUUUAUUGUACUGGACAUGUCACUGCCUGGUCCUGUGGUGAGUUCCUUAUGUUUUUCUGUUUAAUCCUCACACAGUGUUCUCCCCAUUUUACAGAUGCAUAGACUCAAAGGGUAGGUACCUUGUUAAAGAUUUUACCAUUCCCGAAAACAAGAGCAAGAUGCAGACAAGGGUGUCUAGUGUGCUACCUUUCAUAAAGCAGAGAAAAUAAGAAAAUAUGUAUGUAUCAUACACAUAUUUAAUCAAUUUUGCAAAUAGGCAAUUCAGGAAGGAUAAGCCAGAAGCUAAUGAAAGUGAUUACAUAUAAGGAAGGUGGGCAAUGAGACUCCCCCCCCCCCCUUUUAAAAGUUGAAUAUAAUCAAACUGGUGAACAUUAUAGCAAAUGGACAACUUAUUCACAUGGAGGAAAUAAUUAUUUCAGGUUACACACACACACAGUAUUCUGGGUACGUCUUUAGAGGUGGGUUUAUUGUUCAUAAUGUUGUCAAAGAUAAGAAAAAACUAUUCCAGUGGUACAGCGUGUAAUAAGUCCUACAUCUGUUCCUUUCCUGUGCCUGUUAAGCAAAGUGUAGCUAAACUCUUGCUUUGAAACCAAAGAAGCCAUUAAAAGAUAAGCAUGCAUCUUUCAGUGCUAUGUGUUUGUGGUGUGUGGGUCAUGAGGUAGAGGAGGCACGCAUGGUACUGUAUUAGAGUGGCAGAAGUGUUAUAAGCACUUGGGGAAAGGGAUCUAGAUUCUUGACACAAUCUCCAUUUUCUUUUGUAAAAUGGAGAUAGACAGUAAAGGGUGGGUAGGGCCAGGACUGCUUACUCAGUGGCCUUUUUGACUGUAAUAAUGAUUAAGAGUUUAUGAAUGAAUGAAUUUCAGGAGAAUGUUGAUAGCUGCUGGCCCGUGGAUUCCAUGUUCAAAGGUCACUAUUAAAGGGGUUUGAGACAAACUAGAUUAUUUGUUCACUUAUGUACCUAUUGUCUGUUCCCUGCUAGAAUGUAAGUGCCACAAGGACAGGCGUAUUGAAUCACAAUGAAGAGGGUGCAGUGAGGAUUAAUUAAUGCACGAAAAGCCCUCACAGCUGACCUUGGGUGUUGCUUAACUUAGUGUAAGAAUGAGUUCACUUAUAGCCAAGAAGAGUAUCUGGCUAUUUUGAACCUUGGCAUUGGCUGUUAGGUGUAAAUUUUAAAAAACACUUGAGUAAAGUUGAUUAUACCACUUUGGAGUUCUUAUCAUGGCUUACUUUGUUUCCCUUUUCAAGUGUUCAAGUACUUUAUAAACCUCAUACAUAUACGCAAAUGUACUUAUUUAGCCCUUAUUUCACCAUGUGAAGUGCUAACAAAUUUAAGAGGAACAGUUGUGAAAUGAGAGUACAGUCAUUGGAAUGUUAGAAAACGUCUAUUGGAAGGUAGAGUCUUAUUUCGUCAACUGGCACGAGUGAUUUCAAGAUGUGUUAAGCCACACAAUAUUGGGUUAAAGGAUAUGAAGCUUUCCUGCUUCCAUAUGUAAGGUUGGUAGGAUGAAAAGUCAUAGAAAAUAGCAAAAUUACUAAUGAUGGACACACAGGCAUUUAUUAUUUGAAAAUUAAAUUAUUUAGAAGGAAAAAAAUCCUCUUUUCAUCAUUGUGCAACGAAUGGAGCACAAGAUACAUUGGUUGCCAAAAGAGUUUAUUAGCCAGCUCAGAAGGCUUAUCAGACGUUUUAGCAAUUCAUUGAAUUAUUUAUCAACAUUUACCAAGACUCAAUGAAAGAUGCCACAAGAGAAGGGCCAUUGUAAUCAAUUCUGUUAGAAUUAAGAGUGAGGCUUUGAAUGAUGUUUGUUAUAGUGAUGAAUGAGUUGAACACCUGAACCUACAAAUAGAAUUAAAAUACCUCUCCAAAAGACAUUGUUUUUAAGUGUUUUUGUUUGCAAAUUGAUGCCAUUUUAGAAGUUUUGGUUUAAUGAAUGAAAAACAUCAAAACUGAAGUAUUGUUAUGCAAAAUAUCUUGUAUUAAAGUUUAACUCACAAAAUUUUAGUAUUCA